rnacentral:rRNA from 1 species
CACUGCCCAUAAUGGGGUAGUACGUUUACGUGAAUACAUAGCGUAAACGAGGCAGACCCGGAGAACUGAAACAUCUAAGUAUCCGGAGGAAGAGAAAGAAAAWUCGAUUCCCUGAGUAGCGGCGAGCGAAACGGGAAGAGCCCAAACCAGGAAGCUUGCUUCCUGGGGUUGUAGGACACUCUAUACGGAGUUAYAAAGGAAUGGAUUAGGCGAAGCGACCUGGAAAGGUCCGCCAUAGCGGGUAAAAGCCCCGUAGUCGAAAAUCCAUUCUCUCCAGAGUGGAUCCUGAGUACGGCGGAACACGUGAAAUUCCGUCGGAAUCCGGGAGGACCAUCUCCCAAGGCUAAAUACUCCCUAGUGACCGAUAGUGAACCAGUACCGUGAGGGAAAGGUGAAAAGCACCCCGGAAGGGGAGUGAAAUAGAACCUGAAACCGUGUGCCUACAAGUUGUCAGAGCCCGUUAAUGGGUGAUGGCGUGCCUUUUGUAGAAUGAACCGGCGAGUUACGAUUCCAUGCAAGGUUAAGCAGUGAAUGCGGAGCCGCAGCGAAAGCGAGUCUGAAUAGGGCGAAWGAGUAUGGGGUCGUAGACCCGAAACCAGGUGAUCUACCCAUGUCCAGGGUGAAGGUAAGGUAACACUUACUGGAGGCCCGAACCCACGUACGUUGAAAAGUGCGGGGAUGAGGUGUGGGUAGCGGUGAAAUUCCAAUCGAACCUGGAGAUAGCUGGUUCUCUCCGAAAUAGCUUUAGGGCUAGCCUCAAACGAAAGAAUCUCGGAGGUAGAGCACUGUUUGGACUAGGGGCCCAUCCCGGGUUACCGAAUUCAGACAAACUCCGAAUGCCGAUGAUUUAUGUUUGGGAGUCAGACUGCGGGUGAUAAGAUCCGUAGUCGAGAGGGAAACAGCCCAGACCACCAGUUAAGGUCCCCAAGUAUUCGUUAAGUGGAAAAGGAUGUGGCGUUGCCCAGACAACCAGGAUGUUGGCUUAGAAGCAGCCAUCAUUUAAAGAGUGCGUAAUAGCUCACUGGUCGAGUGGCGCUGCGCCGAAAAUGUACCGGGGCUAAACGAAUCACCGAAACUGUGGAUUGACACCUUUGGUGUCAGUGGUAGGAGAGCGUUCCAAGGGCGUUGAAGCUGGACCGUAAGGACUGGUGGAGCGCUUGGAAGUGAGAAUGCCGGUAUGAGUAGCGAAAGAAGGGUGAGAAUCCCUUCCACCGAAUGCCUAAGGUUUCCUGAGGAAGGCUCGUCCGCUCAGGGUUAGUCGGGACCUAAGUCGAGGCCGAAAGGCGUAGACGAUGGACAACAGGUUGAUAUUCCUGUACCACCUCCCCGCCGUUUGAGCAAUGGGGGGACGCAGUAGGAUAGGGUGAGCGCGCUGUUGGUUAUGCGCGUCUAAGCAGUGAGGUGUGGAAUGAGGMAAAUCCCGUUCCUAUAACAUUGAGCUGUGAUGGCGAGGGGAAUAUUCCCCGGAGUCCCUGAUUUCACACUGCCAAGAAAAGCCUCUAGCGAGGCGGGAGGUGCCCGUACCGCAAACCGACACAGGUAGGCGAGGAGAGAAUCCUAAGGUGAUCGAGAGAACUCUCGUUAAGGAACUCGGCAAAAUGACCCCGUAACUUCGGGAGAAGGGGUGCUCUGUUAGGGUGUUAAAGCCCGAGAGAGCCGCAGUGAAUAGGCCCAGGCGACUGUUUAGCAAAAACACAGGUCUCUGCAAAACCGCAAGGUGAAGUAUAGGGGCUGACGCCUGCCCGGUGCUGGAAGGUUAAGAGGAGAGGUUAGCGCAAGCGAAGCUUCGAAUUGAAGCCCCAGUAAACGGCGGCCGUAACUAUAACGGUCCUAAGGUAGCGAAAUUCCUUGUCGGGUAAGUUCCGACCCGCACGAAAGGCGUAACGAUCUGGGCACUGUCUCAACGAGAGACUCGGUGAAAUUAUAAUACCUGUGAAGAUGCAGGUUACCCGCGACAGGACGGAAAGACCCCGUGGAGCUUUACUGUAACCUGAUAUUGAAUUCCGAUGCAGCCUGUACAGGAUAGGUAGGAGCCUURGAWUCCGGAGCGCCAGCUUCGGAGGAGGCGCUGGUGGGAUACUACCCUGGCUGUAUUGGACUUCUAACCCAUGCCCCUGAUCGGGGCAGGAGACAGUGUCAGGCGGAC